CUCCGAAAAACUGGGAGGAUCCAAAAUACAGGAAUAGACAAACUCAAUGUGGAUCAUGGAGGGGAGUUCAGGAUUAAAGCAGGACUACACAAAUAUUUCUGUGAUCUCACACUGGAUCCAGUCACAGCCAACAAAACCUCAUUCUGUCGGAAG